CCUACGGGUGGCAGCAGUGGGGAAUAUUGGACAAUGGGGGGAACCCUGAUCCAGCCAUGCCGCGUGUGUGAAGAAGGCCCUCGGGUUGUAAAGCACUUUCAGUGAGGAAGAACGCCUGGUGGUUAAUACCCAUCAGGAAAGACAUCACUCUCAGAAGAAGCACCGGCUAACUCCGUGCCAGCAGCCGCGGUAAUACGGAGGGUGCGAGCGUUAAUCGGAAUUACUGGGCGUAAAGCGCGCGUAGGUGGCUUGAUAAGCCGGUUGUGAAAGCCCCGGGCUCAACCUGGGAACGGCAUCCGGAACUGUCAAGCUAGAGUGCAGGAGAGGAAGGUAGAAUUCCCGGUGUAGCGGUGAAAUGCGUAGAGAUCGGGAGGAAUACCAGUGGCGAAGGCGGCCUUCUGGACUGACACUGACACUGAGGUGCGAAAGCGUGGGUAGCAAACAGGAUUAGAUACCCGAGUAGUC
rnacentral:rRNA from 1 species